rnacentral:lncRNA from 11 species
GACUGCACGAGCCAGCAUUAAAAAAAAAAAAAAAAAGAAAAAAGGUUUCACCGCGUAAUUAAAACGGAUUAUGCAUUAGUUCCAUCGAAAAUACCUCCUAUUCUUGAUGGCGCCACAUCUUUGGGCAAGGCCGCGACGUGGAAGGAGAAAUGGCCGCCAGUGGAAAGUUCCCGCGCGGGCCAGACGUAUUAGCGGUUUAAUAUUAUGCAAGUUUGACGUGUUAUGCUAUAUACGGUGUGUUUGAACCUGAUUUAUCCAUCGACAAACACCCGUACGUUGAUUCAUGAUACCGUCAACAAUUAAUUCUCAGAGGCGGCAAUAAAUUUCCUCGUGCAAACACACGUAUAGUAUAAACGAAGUGAAAUAAAACUGGCACUUUGAAAUGACGACGAAACUUUCACCAUGCUCCAUACAUACAUAUAUAUCUCUUCUCCGUUUCUAUCUAUCUUUUUCGCGUAAAUUUCUGCAAACUGGCUUGCGAAAGAAACAACAAUCUAUGCUCGCCAAGGAAAUAAUAGUCUUUUUCAAUGCUUGUAAUUUGGAGAAGAAGACGAAAUCGAUCGAUGUGUUUCUUUUUUUAUUAUUAUUUCCUUUUUCAUAAUCUUGCUCUUCUUUUUUUCAGGUAGUCGAAAAGUAGGUUUCGUCGGUUCGUUUGAAAUCCCUCUUACGUUUGCUUCAAAGAGAGCUGAACUUCUUCCACUGUGAUUUCCUUUUGGUCUUUAGUAGCCUGUUAAACUGGAGGUACAGUUGCAGUACUUAUCCAUAUCGGACGAGUGGUAAAAGGGGGACGAGUUCACACUUGGCGGGACGAAUUUCCUUCCCUCCCUCUCUCGUGGGAGAGGAUAACUUUGAAGAAACAAUAAACGAGGUAAACGCGGUUGGAAGAAGAGGAGCGCAAAGGGGCCUGGAAAAAGAGCCACGGAAUGGAGUGGCCGCCGUGGGAGCGAACACACUCGAAAACGAGCAAACCCGCACGAGGAGGCAGGGGACACACACUUUCCCGCGCGGGGAAAGGUGUACACGAACUUACGUUCCCGCGUUUACAUUUCCAUUUAAUUCAAACAUGCACGCGCUCGUGAAUUUCAUCAUCCUGGGGGUAGUGGUGGCGACGUCUGUCUGGCAAUCGCCAUUGUUCUCGAAUCGGAACGGGUGUAUCCAAAAACGGGUGUCCUGGUGGUGGUCCUCCGACGUUCUCAACGGGGGCUCUCACGAGGGAAAGAUCAAGGUUUUGAUAUACGCCGAGCCUUUCAGGAAAAUUGUUUGGAUUUUAAAAUAAUCGAAUGCUUGAAUUUGGUUGUGACAUUGUUCUUUUUCUUUUUUUUUUUGGAAAACGUGAUGGUUUCUUUAAGACGCUUUUAAAAUUUGUGAUCAAUCUCUUGCUUAUAUUUUAGAAAAAUGAGGGAUUGAAGUCGUGAUUCUUGGAGAACAGAAUGUCGUUUUUAUCUUUGACGAUGAUAACUUUAGACUUAUUUAGUUUGGUGAGAUAUAUUUUGGAGGAUUCGAGUAACUUUUUUUGAAAAUAUCGUGGAAAUACUUUCUUUCUUGCAAGAUAUUUUUGUCGAAAGAAGGUACUAGAUGCAGAUGAUAUAUAUAUAUAUAUUUGAUAGCACAGAGAUAUACGAAGCCACUCUAUGGCAUGGCAGUAAAUGUAUCGAGUGGUUUCUGUUACCGACAUAAUUUAUAACCCCUCUUAACACGUAUUACACGAGGACAUUCCUUAUUCCAUCUCUCUCUUCCAUGCUCUUCUUUUUUUCUUCAUCCAACUAACAUUAUUUUCAUAUUCAGACAUCAUCACGUAGACUCAUUUACUCACUGUAACCUUAUUUUUAUUUUUAUUUUUUAUCUUGAGACAUCUCUUACACGUUCGCGUCUUUUGUCUUAUUAUUUCCAUUUUUUCGUUUCGCCCCGAUUCCCUUUCUUCCUUUCCCACAUUUUUAUUCUCUUCUCUUGCUCAUUCAUUCUUGGCAUCUUCAAUCCGCCUUUCCCUCGACUUUUUCUCCCCCCUUAAUGUAUUUUUUCCGGAUUUCAUUUAAAUUCCAUCCCCUUUUCCUACUCCCAUUCCAUCUCAGAAUCAUCGUAUCAACAUCGAACGAGGACGAACGAAGUCUAGAUCAAUUAGAGACUUUCUUUCCCCUCCAACGAUCGAAAAUUCGACGAGGACCACUUGGAGCCACUAAAAUACCUAUAAAUACCUAUAAAUUCUCUCGAAAUUCGAAAACGUGUGGCUCGAAUAGUUCCUCCUAAGUCGAAACCUUAAUCCUUAAUAAUCGCAGCAACAUAGAUCCCAUCCCUAAAGCCUCUAGAGAUUCUACAACAAUGUAAUUCCUACGAGAUAAUCGUAUCAAGGACACAAGUUCAGAAUCUUCGACAAGAAAAAAAAGAAAAACUUACGAAGACCACCUGCAACUCCGUCUUCGUACAACUAACUCGCCUGAAAAACGAUCUCCAGCCUUUGUCAAGUUCAUCCUCCCUCCCCUUCCUUGACACCCCUCCUCCACUCUCCCCGGUCGUAAAUUCUCGGAAAACUCGAUACCACAAGCACAUCCUCGAUCCCCUCCUCUCCGAAACCAGAAGAGUAUAUCCGUGAAUAGGCGCAUCCUCGGGAGAGAAAUUGGCCGAAUUUGAAAAACAAAGAGAGAAAAGUGGACGAAAAAAAUCCACCCUCCUCCCUCGAAAUUCGGCCAAUUUUUCGACCGACAACGGUUCGAUCCCUCCUCAUCAUCCCUCGCGAGCGAAUGAACGGAAUGGAAGAAAAAAGAACGGCGUGAAAAAAAUUGAAAAAAAAGGAAGAGACCGCUGUACACGCACUGUAGAGAGGAGGGGAACAAGGCGCAAGAGUUUUUCGUCCUGGCGAGGGACGAAUUGCCGUGGCGCGCGAACCAGAGCAAUCCAGAGCGUCCGCGGGGCUGAUUUACGAGAGGCGCGAGAACAGCGAGCGAGAAUUCCAAUAGGAACGGUGGGAUACUUUAUUGCAACCGGUCCCCAGCGCCUGGUAAAGAUUAACACGUAACGCGUGCAAAAAUAGGAUUACACCGUAAUUUCCGCCCCGUCUGUACCGUGGUCCCCGCACGCGAACCGGGGAUUACGACGCCCGGGGCAGCCGCGAGAGGAGGGGAGGGGGAGAGGCGUUCGUAUCGUCGGUGCACGCGGGAAACUCUUCGUUAUUGGCUCGAAAAUUUGGCCGACGCCGCGAGCGUGAUUCUACGCGAUUCCAAAAAUAGUUGGAAAUUUGUACAGAUUCGAUUCUUACGAAUUGUUAUCAAUUUCUUUUAAUCUGGAUUUUUAAUUGUUCAUUUUGUUUCCCGCUCUUCGUUUGAAUGAAAACUUUGCGGGGUAAAUACUCGCGAUUUCAUUCGCUAUAUACACGAAGAGAAGAGUUUGGGAUAAUGAAUUUUUUUCCAAGCUUUGAUGGAGCUUUAUCCCGUGAUUCGAUCUAAUUGCGGGGAUGAAAUUGUAGAGAUUGGUAAUCCCUUUUGUUGAGAAUUUUCGUACUCGUUUGUUUCUGUCGUCGAAAUAUAAAAUUUGAGGAAUGAUAAUCAGAGAGAAAGUUAAUGGUCUAAAGUGAUUCAAUCGGAACUACGAUCCCGUCUCCGUUUUUCUUCUAUGCUGUACGAGAAUACGUAUUAUAAUUACUAUUAAAUUAUCUACGAUAAUUAAAAUUUUAAAACAUGA